rnacentral:lncRNA from 1 species
GGGAGGACCCGGCCCGCGCCCCCGCCCCCCGGUGCCCGCCCCCCGCCCCCGUCAUGUGGAGCGGACGUCACAAGCCUGCACUGUAACCCAAGAAGUGAAAGAGACGGGGACCCACGGCCCAACUUCGCACCGUAACAAAGGCGGGGGUGCCUGCUGCUGCCAGCCAUGCUUUCCAGGUAGGACAUGCACGGCCUCGGGGCAGGUGCACCUCUGCAGCCCGGAAGCAGGAGGCUCACCUGAAAAUGGAGAGAUAAGACGCCCUCCAGCAGGCCCGAGUGAUCCAGAGCCCUCGUCGCCGAGAUGGACCGCACCCGGGAGGCCGAGAUGGAGCUGAGAAGGGGCCCCAGCCCCACCAGGGCCAGCAGGAGCCCCGAGGCGGACGGGGACAGGGCCCUGAGUCACAGCUGCUGCAUCUGUGGCAAGAGCUUUCCCUUCCAGAGCUCCCUGUCCCAGCACAUGCGCAAGCACACGGGGGAGAAGCCCUACAAGUGCCCGUACUGCGACCACCGGGCUUCCCAGAAGGGCAACCUGAAGAUCCACAUCCGCAGCCACCGCACAGGAACCUUGAUCCAGGGCCACGAGCCCGAGGCUGGCGAGACGCGCGUGUCCGAGGGCCUGGACGGCUGCGCCAGUCCCACGAAGAGCACCUCGGCCUGCAACAGGAUCCUGAAUGGCGCCACCCAGGUGGACAACGGCAAGAUCCUGCUGAGGAGCAGCAAGAAGGAGACGGAGGGGACGGCGUGCGCCACCGAGGAGGGCAGGGCGGCGGCUUCGGUGACCGGGCAGUGCUCCUUCUGCAAGAGCAAGUUCGAGCGCAAGAAGGACCUGGAGCAGCACGUGCACCAGGCGCACAAGCCCUUCAAAUGCCGGCUGUGCAGCUAUGUGACCCUGCGGGAGGAAUCCCUGCUGAGCCACAUUGAGAAGGACCACAUCACAGCGCAGGGGCCGCGCGGUGAGGCUGAGGUGGAGAACUGCAAGCCCGAGCUGCCCCCGGGUGAGUUCCCCUGCGAGGUGUGCGGCCAGGCCUUCAGCCAGACCUGGUUCCUGAAGGCGCACAUGAAGAAGCACAGGGGCUCCUUCGACCACGGCUGCCACAUCUGCGGCCGGCGGUUCAAGGAGCCUUGGUUCCUGAAGAACCACAUGAAGGCGCAUGGCCCGAAGGCGGGGAGCAAGAACAAGCCGCGGAGCGAGCUGGACCCCGUCGCCACCAUCAACGAUGUGGUGCAGGAGGAGGUGAUCGUGGCCGGCCUGUCCCUCUACGAAGUCUGCACCAAGUGCGGGAACCUGUUUACAAACCUGGACAGCUUGAACGCGCACAACGCCAUCCACCGACGGGUGGAGGCCGGCCGGCCGCGCGCCCCGGCCUCGGAGGGCGCCCCCGACUCCCAGCAGCUCUUCCUUCAGUGCCUGAACCUGCGCCCGGCGACCGGCGCGCCCGCCCGCGGGCAGGCCGGGCGGCGCGUGGCCGAGCUGGACCCGGUCAACAGCUACCAGGCCUGGCAGCUGGCCACCAGAGGCAAGGUGGCCGAGCCGGCCGAGUACCUCAAGUACGCGGCGUGGGACGAAGCGCUGGCAGGGGACGUGGCCUUCGACAAGGAGCGGCGUGAGUUCAUCCUGGUGAGCCAGGAGAAACGCAAGCGUGAGCCUGAGCCCGGCGCGCCGGGACCCCCGCGCAAGAGGGCGGGAGCGCCCGGGGACCCUGCGCCUGGGCCCCUGGACCCCCGGCCGGCCGCGCGUGCCAGCCGCCGAGCAGCUGCCCCUGCCGGCCACAGCAAGUCGUCCGAGUGUUUCGAGUGCGGCAAGAUCUUCCGCACCUACCACCAGAUGGUGCUGCACUCGCGCGUGCACCGGCGCGCGCGCCGCCACCGCGAAGGCCCUGGGGAGCGCGUGCCCCGCGCCCGCUGCGGUUCUCUCAGCGAGGGCGACUCGGCCUCACAGCCCAGCAGCCCUGGCUCAGCCUGCGCCGCUGUCGACUCCCCGGGCUCCGGCCUGGCGGAUGAGGCCGCCGAUGAAAGCGGAGAGGAGGGCACAGCCCACUCUGCACCAGGGGCAAAGCCACACCGCUGCUGCUUUUCUGAAGAAGUAGCACCGACCAGGCUCUCCAAUGGAGACCAAAGUCACACACUUGGAAAUCACCCAUCUGGAAGAGACUCCGGGGAGCCCAGCAUGGGGAUCACUGCUUCCACAUCCGUACUUGAAAAUGGUAGCAGAGAGACUUCCAAGAGACCAGAGCAGCCUAGGUUUUCCAUGGACUUAAAGAUGCCAGCAUUUCACCCCAAGCAAGAGGUCCCGGGCUCCAGGGACUCUGCAGACCUCCCUUCGAAGCCUGAUCAGACUUUUCUGGAACGGGCAGAUCUGCAGCUCUUGUCAGAAAGCCAGGCCACCUACCCGAAGGAGAAGCUGUCCGAUUUGCACAACAAGGAACAUUCCGGGGGAGGGAAAAGGGUGCUGGCCCCAGACCUGAUCCCACUGGACCUGAGUGAGAGGUCGACGCGGGCUGACCCCAGCCAUAAGGAGCUGGCCUCCUCGCUGCAAGCGGCCUUGGCCGUCCACCCGUGUCCUUACUGCAGCCAUAAGACCUACUAUCCCGAGGUCCUCUGGAUGCACAAGCGCCUCUGGCACAGGGUCAGCUGCAGCUCCAUGGCGCCCCAGUGGAUCCAGCCCAACGGCUACAAGAGCAUCAGAAACAACUUGGUUUUCCUCGCCCGGAGUGGACGCACGGGGCCCCCGCCCGCCCUCGGCGGCAAGGAGUGUCAGCCCCUGCCCAUCUCUCGGUUCACUCGCACUCAGGUGCCAGGUGGGGCGCCGGGGACCAAAGGCAGCCCCUCACCCCUGGGCAUGACCGUGAAAGCUGCCAGCUUGCCCAGGAACAAGGACAGCCAUCCCGGGGGACCCUGUGGACUCUGGGCAGCUGCCCCCGAUGGGCCUCGGCCGACCAAGCCCAGCCUGGGACCUGAGCAGCAUGGGGCUCCGGCCCAGCUGCCCCCGGCCAAGCUCAAGCAGGAGGCCGGCUCCAAGCCUGGGCCCGUGGCAGGUGGGGGCAGCUUCAGCAGAAGUGCCACCCCCACACCCGUCAUCGCCCGGGCCAGCUCCCAGCCCCCGGCCAACAGCAGGCUGGGAGACAAGUACGCACACCCCCCGGUGGCAUCUGGCAUCGUCCCCCCAAGUAAGCACAGCACCCCGGACCCCCUGAAAGCCAAAUUCAGCCCUCAGCCUCAGGGUCAGCCACAAGUGAAAGGUGACGGGGGCCUCCCUCUACCUCCCCGAGAACCCCCCUCCAAGGCUGGCAACGGUGUGGGCUCCAGGGGCCACCUGGCAUCGCAGGCCUCACCGGUGCUGCCCACCAUCAAGCAGGAGCCCGUGGCUGACAGCCCUGAGAAACGCCUGGACAUCCUCAAUAUCUUUAAGACAUACAUUCCAAAGGACUUUGCUUCUCUCUACCAGAGCUGGGGGGCCAGUGGCCCUGCACUCGAGCACAGAGGGACGCUCCGGACGCAGGCCCACCAGGGAGACUUCGUCUGCGUGGAGUGUGGGAAGUGCUUUCAUCAGCCCAGCCACCUCAGGGCCCACAUGAGGGCUCACACAGUGCUGUUUGAGUCUAAUGGCCUCCGAGGUGCUGACAUCCACGGCGCAUCUGCUGACGUCCCCAAACAAGGGAGAGACCAUCCUAACGCAGAUACUGUCCAGACAGUGCCUCUCAGAAAGGGAACCUAGAGACACGCUUCCAACAACCGGUGCCCGGUGACGGCCCCCCCACCGUGGGUGUCCCCACAGUCUCCCUGCCGUGACCCUGCCCGCCCCGCGGAAGAACUCCUGGCGGACACCCUGAAUCCUAGAGCCUCGGGGCGAGGGCAGAAGCUGAAGAGAGAGCCUCUCCUUGUCAUGCGUUUAAAAAUCAAGCAGAUGCUCUGCUCGAAUUACAUGCAGGUCCUCCUCGUGCGCACGUGUGCUCACCCAGCACAGUCCGUAUUUUCCUACAGUCAGCGGUCGUGUCGGCAGGCGCAGGAGGAGCUCACGCAUCUGUCUUGUUCAAGACGAGUUUGAGACACUGGAAGAAAGAUCCUCGUGUGCGUGGGACACAACGAAGCUGCCAGGCACUGUCACAGAAGCUGCAAUGCUCAGAGGACUUGGGGGGACGUCAGAGCAAAGGGGGGCGAGGUUUGCAGCAUGAGUGUGACGGCCCCUCCUUGUCUCAGUGGGUAUUUAAAUAGUGAAUAAGAGAGGGAGGAUGGGUGUGCGGGUGGUGUGGAAACAGGCUCCAUGGAGGCGGGCGGUGACUGGACCCUCCCUGGCAGGGGGGCCCAUGUGCUGAGCCCCGCUCCGUUGUGCUCAGUGAACCCGGCAGAGGUCACACGUCCACAGCAAGGCUUGUGUCCUGCUUCGGAAAAGAGAGCUAGUUGAACACUAAGAAAAGCAGGCUUCUUUGUUUAUUCUCAGGACCUUUUGGUAACAGGGCUGCACUCUGCAAACUGCUCACCACGGAAGACUGCCCGUCUUAACAAAUUAUCUAGCCACUGAACCCCUGAUUGGGACCCUUGUAGUCACAGCAGGAGAAUCCCUGAGCAGAUUGGGGGCUCAGGUCACCAGGGUCUGAGUGCUCUGGGAUUCCUCGUGCUCCCCUUCCCUGCCUCCCUGUCCAUCCGUCCCAGCAAGUAGGUGUCUUUUCUUCUUGGGCCUGGGGGCCUCCGCUGGACGAGUCCCCUCGUUCCCAGGGUGUGGAGGCCCCCAGGCCUGUGGUUGGGGCGGCUUGAUAUACCUCUUCCUCAGAUGCAAGUUUUAGUGGUGGGGUUAAGGCCCGUCACAAGGGACCUUAAACCUUGCAGUGUACGCAAAGUUGUAUUCCACAGAUAUAAAUAUUUUCUUUUCCUUUUACCGUGACACUAUGUGUGAUGGUAAUAUUUCUGAAAGUUUCAGAUUUUUGCACAUAAUGAUUUUAUGCAUUAUCAAAAGUUACUGCUGCCUUGAAUGAAAAUGUUCUGUGAAAUUUUUUGCAAAAGCUUUACUAGGUUUUUUUUUAAUUGUGACAUUUUGUAAAGGCAGGAAAUGGAUUAAAAUAAGCAUGCUAAAUAUAUUUUUCAAAAAAGCAAUAAUUUUACAUGUAUAGAAAUUAUCCUAACCUUUAAUACUGGUGAGAGCGACAGUUUACUUAAUACAGUAAUGGAUUAGUGCAGUUUUUGUAGAAAAUGGGCUUCUGAUACAAAGACUUGUUUAAACACACACACACACACACACACACACACACACACACCCACCCCUGAAGUGUGGUUUUCCUGUUCUAAUGAUUUGUUGAGUUUUAUUAUUAUUAUUAUUAUUGUUGUUGUUGUUGUUGUUCUUAGUUACUGUUUGGUUUCUGGAUUCUACUUGUUACUGAAUUUAAAUUACUUGACGGUUCAGGUUACCUUGCAACAUUUGCAAACAAUGCAAUGUAACUGGCUAGCUUCUAUAUAUAUAUAUUAUAUACAUGUAUACACACACACAUGUAGACACAGAGAUAUGUGCGUGUGUGUGUAUAUAUAUAAUUUUUUUACUUAUUUUUUCCUGCUUCUCUUUUGCUGGAUAUGUUCCAGAACGAUCUGUCCUGUUGGUGUGUUCCGAGGGUCUGUGCAGAUGCUCCUCAGCCACUGUCCUUGACUGUUCUGUAAAGUUACUUUGAGCAAAGUUGCAGACACAUUCCCCUGCUCACCUUCAAAAUCAAAAUGCCACUCUGUUGACUUCCGUUUGAUCCUGUCUCUGGCCUCCCCACGGUGGUCAUUUCUGCAUUUUCUUGGCUGAAAGUGAAGGGUGACAGUUCAGGAGCGCACAGGGGCUAGAGCUGCGGGCUGUCUGUUUCUCUGCAUUUUAGUUAUUAAAAGGAACUCUGGACCCAAAGUGACACAGAUGAGUCAUGUACCUUCUUGCUGUUUCAGAAGCAGCCUGUGGAGUCACAGUGUCACCCCGGGGGCUCCUUUGCAGGGGCCUGGGGGAGAGAGGGGGCACAUCCCCAGGGAAAACCGUGUGCUGCCAGGAGCACAGAUGGAAGGUUUUCACUUAAUUCAGCAGGCAGGGAAGGGACCCCAGAGAAUGCCACCCUCUGAGAGAAGCCCUUUGCGGGAGACUGUGGCCCCUCCCUCUUUCACUGCCCAUCAGUAUUUUAUUGGUUUGUUAAUGCAUUUAUGUCAGUUCAACCAUAGUAUUUAAUAUGAUUUGUGUUUUCUUAUUUAUUUAGCUGAUAUGUCUUGAUUCGCUUUUUUUUCGAAUGAUAAUUUCCGCAUGGUCUCUCCUGUAAGUCACCUUCUGACUGUUACAGACUUUCUACCUCUACCAAUCUGCUGUUUCCUUGUUUCUUAACAGGAUUUCACAGUGUUGGCGUCCAGUGUAACUUAGACAAUAAAGGGUUUGGUUGUCUACA